UCGGGAACAUUGAGACAGGUGCUGCAUGGCUGUCGUCAGCUCGUGUCGUGAGAUGUUGGGUUAAGUCCCGUAACGAGCGCAACCCUUGUCCUUAGUUACCAGCACGUUAUGGUGGGCACUCUAAGGAGACUGCCGGUGACAAACCGGAGGAAGGUGGGGGAUGACGUCAAGUCAUCAUGGCCCUUACGGCCUGGGCUACACACGUGCUACAAUGGUCGGUACAGAGGGUUGCCAAGCCGCGAGGUGGAGCUAAUCCCAGAAAACCGAUCGUAGUCCGGAUCGCAGUCUGCAACUCGACUGCGUGAAGUCGGAAUCGCUAGUAAUCGCGAAUCAGAAUGUCGCGGUGAAUACGUUCCCGGGCCUUGUACACACCGCCCGUCACACCAUGGGAGUGGGUUGCACCAGAAGUAGCUAGUCUAACCUUCGGGAGGACGGUUACCACGGUGUGAUUCAUGACUGGGGUGAAGUCGUAACAAGGUAGCCGUAGGGGAACCUGCGGCUGGAUCACCUCCUUA
rnacentral:ncRNA from 1 species